AUCGAUGGAGAUCGAAACCAGAAUCUUUCUUGGAGUGUAACUUCUUCUCUUCCUCAAUUCUUUCAUUAGAAUGUCGUUGCCAAGUGAGAAUUAAAGCAUGACGUGCUGUACCAUGAAGGCAAGGGAACAUUGCCCAGCGGCUCACCAUCGUGCACCCAAUGGGAGGCCCAUACAUGAGCUUCUUCAACACUGGCAGCAUAGUCUUUCUGCCCUCUUGUGUCUAGUCGCGUACCUGUGUUAGUGGACAGAAUUCUUUUAUCCAAUGAAUAUGAUAUAGAGACAUGGACCUCAUAAGAUCAUAGGGAAAAUAUUGAGAUUUCAAAGAUGGACAACGGAUUUCACUGUCAACAAACGAAAGGACUCCCAUAAACU